UGCACUUAUGUAUGUUUUUGUUUAACUUGCGGACAAAGACUUAUGGAUAGGUGCAAAAAAAUAAGUCCUCUUUUGCAACCUGGAACUGAUUGUUCAGUGUGAGUUUUGAUACAUGUAAGAAGGGAUAUC
ensembl:snoRNA